rnacentral:rRNA from 1 species
AUGGCCGUCCAUCCAACCCGCCCAUAUGUAUUGUCAUCGGCUCAUUGUGAUAUGAAGCUCUGGGACUGGGACAACGGCUGGGAGUGCACACAAUCAUUCAUGCAAGAACACUCCGAUACUAUACAGCAAGUCGCAUUUAACCCAGUGGACUCCAAUAUGUUUGCAAGUGCUUCAGAUGAUCAAACAGUAAAGGUUUGGAGCGUCGAUUCUCCCGAAUCAAAGUAUACUUUGUCUGGGCAUCAGGACAAAGUGAACUGUCUCGAUUUCUUCAAAUCUAAUGAUCGACAAUAUUUGAUUACUGGCUCUGACGACCACACCGCUAAGAUAUGGGACAUGGAGGAAAAGGCUUGUGUUCAUACGAUGCAAGCUUUCAUAUCUCCGGUAAUUUCUGUCAUGGCCUUUCCCGAUAGCUCAUAUCUAAUUACAGGUUCAAGAGAUGGCUCUCUUCAUUUCUGGAGCUCCGCUGAAUUCAGUGAUUUCUGCAUGGUUCCUAGGCUGGAGAGAAUCGUUAACUUUGGCUCUGGUGGAGCUAUUUGGGGUCUCGGACGUUUCAUGGGGUCAAGAAGGUAA